rnacentral:rRNA from 1 species
UACGAAGGGGGCUAGCGUUGUUCGGAAUUACUGGGCGUAAAGCGCACGUAGGCGGAUAUUUAAGUCAGGGGUGAAAUCCCAGAGCUCAACUCUGGAACUGCCUUUGAUACUGGGUACCUUGAGUAUGGAAGAGGUAAGUGGAAUUGCGAGUGUAGAGGUGAAAUUCGUAGAUAUUCGCAGGAACACCAGUGGCGAAGGCGGCUUACUGGUCCAUAACUGACGCUGAGGUGCGAAAGCGUGGGGAGCAAACAGG